GUUAAGGCAGAAUGCCUUUGAAGAGUUAGAAGAAUAUUAAAAGCCUUAACUUGUAGCUUAAUUUUGCUUGAUGACAAAAGG
rnacentral:misc_RNA from 1 species